UCCGGCGUAGCUCAAUGGUAGAGCAUUCGACUGUUAAUCGAAGGGUUGUAGGUUCGAGUCCUUCCGCCGGAGCCA
rnacentral:tRNA from 1 species